rnacentral:lncRNA from 1 species
CAGAAACUACGCCUGGUCCUGGGAACACAUUGCGAGAUAUGCAGACAGGAUCCCAGCCUGCAGGAAGCUUCAGUCCAGCAUCAGCACUAGAAGGGCAGCAGUUUAGAAAGUGAAAGACUUUACCCAGAGCUUGGAAGCUGGUGCCGGCCCAGUCCCAAGGCGCAGCGUGCGUCAGCAAGACAGCAGAAGCAGGAGGAGAGCUGGCGGGAAGACAUGCACCCCUUGAAGACCCAGAGAGAGGCCGUCUGUCUACCGCGUAGCAGUUACAUCAGACUGAGACACUUCCUGUUUACAGGAGACUAUAAAAUUCCUGCCCCGUGCUCAUUUGGGGCUGACGCCAUUUUAGGCCUCAGCCCAUCUGCACCCAGGCGCUCACUGAAACAGUGUGUUGCUCCACACCGCCUUGUUUUGCUUGUUGGCGCGCUCUCAGGGUUCCGACCAAUCCAAGAGCCUUGCAGAAAGCAUUAACGUGCUUUUCUCUUUGGCAGAGUUUUUCUUUGCUCUGAUCUUGGAGACAUCCCUCUGCCUAGUGGAAACAUAAGGAAUACAGAAAGAAUGCAAGGAGAUAGACCAACGUGAGAUUCUCCUUCAUGCACUCAAGAGAAAGAUGUUGCAGGAAGAGCUAGUCUUUCAGGCUGGGCUGGUGACCUGAGAAAGAAUGUCCAGCUUUUCUUCUCCACUUGGCAUAUCAAGAGCCAGGCGUGGAAGACUAAAACAGGAAAUGUUUAUAAAAACUGUUCAGCGGUUCGCCAACAAGAAGUGGUAAAGUAGCAAAAAUGGGGAUGGAGAUGCCAGGAGGAAAGAUGCCAGGGGUAAAGUGGGAAAAUGGGAACCUGAAGCCAGGAGGUCAAGCCAAGCCAACAGGUGUUCUGUUUUUCAAUGAGGAGGUGGGGCACAGGAUGGAUGGAAACUUUCCACAGUCACAGAACUAAUAAGUGGUGCUGAGGACUCAAACCCGGGGAAGCCCACUCUAGAACCCAUGCUGGUCAUCCAUAUCCCCAAGGCCCUGGUCAGAACACAGCUAAGCAGAUGGCUUGGGUCAUCAGGACGUCCAUUACAUCCAAAGGAAGACAGCCUGUGACGUUUCAAAAGCAAAAGUCCCCUACCAGCCAGUGAAGCUACCUGAUUUCUCAGUAUCUUACGCCCAGUGACACGAUCUACCCUCAAAACUUAAAAAAAAAAGGGAAACAUAAACACAUAACAGCAGCAGCAAUAAUUAAAGAUGAGAUGAGAACAAUUAAGAAAAAAGGAAAGGUCUCCUGUGACUGUUUUAUUUUUAGGGAAACAGAGAGGAAGAAGAAUGAUUUUUCUUUUGAUGACUCUAUAUCCAACUCUGAGGUUUGAUUAAAGAAAUGACCUUGAACCACAGCAAAGAAAAAUAAAAGACAAUUUCCAGUAAGUAUGCCAGUUCGAAUUAAUGAUUUACUUUUUAUUUUUAAACUGAAUUCAGCAGAGAUUUACAUGCAUUACGAUGAUUAACAUCUGAAAUUUGACCUUGAAAUAAUCUUUACAUUGUAAAUUCUUAAUGAUCAAAACAAGGUUCUCAGUGAUUAAAACAUAUUAGUAAUUAAUUAUUAAAGGAGAAUAAUUGCAAAUACAACAUUCCUAAAAUCUCAAGGCUUUUAAAGCAUUUGUACAAAUGACUGGACAUUUUUUAAAUUUGAAAAAAAAAAAAAGCCCUCCAUCUGAUUCUCAUUUUCAUUGUCAGUGCAACAACAAAAAAGGUAUGCACUUCUCUUCUCAUUUUCCACUGUCUCGCAAGCUAGAAAUUCUCACGACUACCUUUGAUCCCAUCAAAGCCAAAGAAAGAAAAGAAAAUUGUUCUGUACAGAUAUAUGACAUUAAAAAAUAAUCCCAAAAACUUCUUCUCUAAGGUUAAUAAAAGGUCGGCAGUUUUGAUCACUUUUAAAAAUCAAUUUAUAAAUAAUUUAGUCACUUGUAGAUGGGACAUGAUCUUCCUGCUAUCCCUAACUACUCUGAUGCCAAAACUGGUCAUAGCACAAGUGGGGCUGCAUAGCAAACUGAUCCGCCCAAAUAAUUUCUACUGGGUUAUAAGAUUUUAAGAAAUAACCAUGUCUCACACCAUAGAGAAAAACAAUUCAACCAGAUAUCUGUCCCAUGUAUUGUAGGUACUCUCUGUCAAAGCUGUAACUCUUUUUAACUUGGAUGGUCUCACCUAGAGUAGAUUUCUUGUUGACAGAAGGAACCCCAGAAUGUGUACAGGCCAGGGCCGAUUGUGACUUCCAUUGGCCAAGGUUGUCCCAGGGCCAGGACAAGGGCCACACAGGUGCACUAGCCUCCCAAGGGCUGAGCAUGUGUGCUCAACCAUCUGGAGGAAGAUAAAAGUGCAUCCCCUAAAUUCUGCCCAAUCCAGUCUCUUGUCCAUGGAGUUUCAUUAGAAGUGACAAAGUUGAAUGAAGAAAAACAAAAGGCAACUCGCCAGAACAUUUCAUCU